GGCUGGUUCAAGUAUGACAGUGUUUACAACUAAUUGGUCACAGCUAGUUACAGAUUUCUUUGUUCCUUUUCCACUCCCCCUACUUCACUUGACUAGCCUAAA
ensembl:Y_RNA Y_RNA Y RNA